rnacentral:lncRNA from 1 species
GGGGAGAUGGAGGCUGUGUUCAGGCUGGUCCACGCUGGGUCACCCAUGUGACCUGCUGCUUAGCAAUUCUUUGUCACCAUCUUCCCUUCUCAGCCUCUUUUUCCAUGCUAAGAGGCAUAAAUGAAAUGAUAAAAGUUUGAGCUCUUCUCAUGGAAUUCUUGUGAUACAGAUAUGUGCUACAUGUUCACUAUCUCAUUGGUCUUCACCAUGAUAACUGUGGAGUAAGAAUUAUCAGCAGUUCGCAGAUUAUGGACUUGAGACUGACAGUUUGGCUUCCCUGUUCCAGGUGGCAAAGCCUGUGGGGUAUUCACCUACCUGCUGCAUGAAGGCAGCAUGGAGGGACUGUGGUGGAUUAUCUGCAAAGAUGGCCCAAAUUCUCUCAUCCCUGCAGGUACAUACAAGAAAGCCUGAAUUUUGUAAAUGUUCUGCUUAGAAUGAGGAAGAAAGAUGAAGAAUGAGGAGGAAGAAGGGAGGAACAAGAGAGAGAGGUAAAGCCAACAAGCAGAACAGACCUACAUUUGCAGCAUCUCCAAGUUUCUGCAACAGC